rnacentral:rRNA from 1 species
CAGUAGCCGCGGGAAUACGUAGGGUGCGAGCGUUAAUCGGAAUUACUGGGCGUAAAGCGUGCGCAGGCGGUUAUGUAAGACAGUUGUGAAAUCCCCGGGCUCAACCUGGGAACUGCAUCUGUGACUGCAUAGCUAGAGUAUGGCAGAGGGGGGUGGAAUUCCACGUGUAGCAGUGAAAUGCGUAGAGAUGUGGAGGAACACCGAUGGCGAAGGCAGCCCCCUGGGCCAAUACUGACGCUCAUGCACGAAAGCGUGGGGAGCAAACAGGAUUAGAUACCCCCGUAGUCCCUGUCUCUUAUAU